CUUCCGUUAGGCGCGCGCGCCUGACAGGUGCAUUCUUAUCUUGUUUAUGUUCCCUGCACGAGGUCGUGUGUCGGGGAGGGGGCUGCUAUCGUCUAGCUUCCUAACUUUUGUUUCUUCUCUGGUUAGUUCAUGCAUGACUGUUGACGGAGUUACUUCAAGGAUGUGGCAGCUAUUUUCACCCUGCAGGUGCAGCGCGACUACUGACGAUGGCUGGGAAAAAAAUAAUUUAUAACUUGGAUAAUCCUGAAGACGUCAAGAAAAUCCAUAGUAUGCUGUUUGAUGAUACUUCGGGAGAUGAGGACUUUGGAGAACAAUCUGAUUCUGAUAGUGAAGAUCAGAUACACGAGCGAGAGGAAAAUUCAGACACUGAGCAAAGCUGUAAUGAAUCAGAUGGUGAUGAUCCCGGUAAUGCAUCUUACUACAUGGCAAACCAUAAGAAAAAUGGUAAGAUCGUCGAUUCGUACCAAUGGAACAAAUGCCCAUGUCCGAACAAGAGGAGAAGAGGUAAGCAAAAUUUGUUAUUACACAUCCCUGGGGUUAUAGGAACAGCAAUGAAUGCUGAAACCAUUUAGAUACCUGGCUUAUUCUUUUUGAUGAGUCAAUACUCGACUCUGUUGUUGCAUGGACAAACCAACAUAUUGAACUUGUAAGACCUCAAUUUAAUCGCCUCAGAGAUGCACGUUCGACGGAUGUAAUAGAGAUGAAGGCUUUUAUGGGUUUGUUGUACCUAGCUGGUGUGUAUCGUGGGUCACGCCUGAACUUAGAAGACCUUUGGGAUCCCUCUGGGGAUGGUGUUGAAACAUUUAGGCUCACCAUGUCCUUAAAACGCUUCCGAUUUUUGAUGAGGUGUAUUCGAUUUGACAACAAAGAGACGAGAAA